GCUGCCACAUGCUAGCAGCUACUGGGAGCCACAAGUGAGAGCUGGGUGUCAGGUGGGGGUCAGAGGCUGGAGAGCUGCCCUAGGAGGGCACGACAUGCCCUCCAUACCAGAGAUACUACCCCUCCCUGAACACCCCAUACACCCCAGGGUUCUCUGAAUACUAAAGGUUAAUCAGCUGGAGAGUCAACAGCCUUGAAGAUGCUUCUGGAUGAAGAUCCUCCCCCCAUCCCUGUAUCCUCCAUGCAACACGUAUCCGGAUGAUCUUCUUCUCAGAAGAUUUCAUCAACUCCUGAGUCUGAGGCUGGACUGUCUGACUGAACUUGCCCAGUGACUCUCCCAGUCAUUCAACAUCCAUGGCAGGGACCCUCAAAGUUGAGGCUCUCCUUAUUACUGCUGAUUUCCUCCAGUUCCUUGGUAGUUUCAGCAAGUGCUUGCUGCCUGAACAAAGUGAGGGACUGGAGCACAACUGGAGAGAAUCAUGGCCAGAAUUGUAAGGGAGAAGAACUGGUCUGGAGACAAGGCUUUGUGAAGACUAGGUGCUGGCUCUCAGUCAAGGGGAGGCACUGAUUUCUUCUAUUCCUGUGCUCAGAGAGGCAACAUAUUAGAAUAUGCAAAGGACCUGCCAAGAGAGAUCUCAGUUCGAGUUCUGUUUCUGACGUCCUAGCAUGGCAAGGAAAAGGCUAACCCACCAGCUGGCAGGCUGCAUCGAGAAGAGGGUGAGGCAGUGUGCUGAUGCCAGGCAUCACACAUGGGGGACAGGAGCGAGGGCCUCCCGGAGCAUGGCGACAGAAACUCCCAAGGGGAGAGGAUCGAGAUCCCGAAUCUUUAGCCAGUUCCUAUAUGGGAAGAAUAGCUCUAAAGGGCUGGUGCCCUUCUGGUUUUCCUUCCAGAACCCACCAAGGGAUGGAUUUCCUGCUGUCGGAAUUCCUGCCACCUCUGAGGACAUUCACCCUUUCUGUGUUACUUACCCUCCUCUUUGCCCUCUCCUCCUCUCACCCCAAGCGAGAGGCUCGCCAAAGCAGUGUCCUGCUGACUCUUCUCUGAGGACCUUUGGCGUUUAAGCAGUAUGGCAGAGAAGUGUGCAAGCCACGGAGAAUGCCAGUGGAAAGCAGAGAUUUGGGUUAGAAUUCAUGCUAAGAGCGUCCCCGAGCAUUGUGCCAAGACCCAAAGCCUGGUGCCUGGUGCUCAGUAUUAGAGUUCUAGCCUGGAGUGUCUGCAAGUGCCAGGAGCCCCGGGCAUCCAGCUGGGCUUAGGCAGUAAGGAGCUUGGGAAGCCUUCCGGAGAUGCUUUCCUUAGUUCUGGUCAACCUGAUUUGGGGCUUUUUGUGGGAGAGGGGCCACGUGGGAUUCCACGGGGUUUGGGGAGCCUUCUCUGCCCACUGAUUCUGAUUGGUGCAUGUUCUGCUGCCUGGCAUCCCUGAGGGGUUAAGUGUGUGACUUAGCAUCCCCCUACAUACAUAAAAUGUAUGUUGUCUAAUGUUCUCCACUUCACAGAAGAAGAGACAAUGUGCUAGAGUUAAGUGACUUACCCAAGGUCACACAGUCAGAUUUGAAAUUUGAACCCAGGCUUUCUGCCUUGAAGUCCACCAACCUUUUCAAUGGAUCAUGCUGUUUUAUUGGCAGUGUUGUGAUGAGGAGCAAACAGCUCCAACCAGAGAAUGGCAAGAGACCUGGUUACUGUUCCUGCCUCCGGCCCCACCUACCUGGACAGAAACAUUUCCCUGUCUGGCCUCAGUUACUCUCUUUGUAAAAUGAGAGGCUCUAAUUUCUAAUUAGAUUUAGGCUCUAAAUUCUCUAAUCUGAGAAAGUUUGAAUUGGGGGGAGGGGGGUCCCCAACACAUUCCCAUCUCUCCUUAACCUCUUCCCUUGAGAAUGAAGGCUUGAAGCCCUCAUUCG